UUCGCGUCAUAAGGAGUGAAGGCUUCCUUUCUCUUAUCUUUCUUGGUUCUAAUUGGGGGGUUUUGCACGUUGGGGAUGCGAGUUCAGGUGGCUAGGGCACGAACUCCUUUUUCACAGCGCCAGGGCUCACGGGGAGGAUGCGUCACAGUUUUGAGGCUUUCUAUGCUCAUUCUUGGCUUGUGAUUUAGGGUUGUUCUUGUGUUUCUAUUUCUUCUCUGUACGUUGACAAUUAUAGGUUGAGGAUUUUGAUCUUGUAAUUUGGGGGUUUGGUUUUAGGGUUUCUGAAGUUGGGAAUUUUUUGGGAUUUCUGUUCUUGGUUUUUCUGAUGGU
rnacentral:lncRNA from 1 species